GAACAGAAGUGCUAGCACCUGGUCCACAGGAAAGUCAUGACCCAAUAAAUCCCAACUCAGCUGCUACCUGACCAGCAAAUCUUGAAGAUACUUGGCCAGAAGAGCCUGGACUUAUUAGCCCUCCUGGUGAUCCACAAGCUAAGUGGUACUGUGAAGGGAUGGGGAUCAGUAAUUGCAUCCUGUGUAAGGAUUUUGUCUGGGUAACAGUCUCCCACCUUUCUUCCUUUUGAGGCUGGGCUUUUUGGGACAAAAAAUCAUGCGACGGAAAGCAGCAAAGCAAGCAAGACUCUGGCCCUGAAGCAGUAGUUCUGCUUGAUUUUAGUUCAGUGACUUUAAAGCCUUGAAUCCCAUUCUCAGUGCAAGUGGCUGGGUUUAAACAAACAAAAUCUGCACUUUGGGGUCUACCCUGAGCUAUACAACCCCCAGCUAGGACACAGGAUUGAAUUCUGCACAAGCUGUCAAGACGCUGCUUGAAGGGAAAUGUGGGAGGAAAAUGCGUUUUGUAUUUAUAACCCAGGGGAGAAUAACCCAGAGUGGAAAGUCUGUGGGACCGCCCUUGGUCACAGGAGAUGGGAGCUGGCCUGGGGAGGGCUGGCUCUCCCUGUUUGUGCUAUAGGGCAUGCGUGUCUCUCCUGCAGCGUGCACAGCAGCGCCGGUGCCAGCUGCCUGGAAGUGAGGAGCGGCGACGCUGAGCUUUCCCACGCUGGGGACCCUUUGUUGGUCUGGGCAUGAGUCUCUGAGUGCCUUUAAAGUAGAGAGAGCAGCAGCAGCACCACCCUGCCCCGGAGCGGGCGGGGAGAGGUUGUAAGCUGAAGAUAGUGUCAUGUACUGAUGGAGACAGACUGUACACAACAUUUGCUAUUCAAUCAUUUUGGUUAAGUCGCUUGGUAUUUUCCCUUCCCAUGACCUGUUCUCCACUCAGCCCUUUCAUGCAUCUCUUCCGUAUUUCAGUGUCUCUGAGAUUAGUUUGUCCUCCGGGUUUUGUCCUGCUCCUCUCUGUCAUUACAACACUUUCUCUUGUUCUUCCUCUUGACUCUUUUCCCCCUCUAUUCUCAUCCCUCAGCCCUGGUGUCCCAGCAGAUCCCCAGCCCCAUGUCUGCCUGUGUGUGAUGGAUGUGUGGGGAGAGGACCAGCCCUGAUGAAGCAAGCAGGGAACUGGGGCCACAGGGGAGCCGGGAGCUCUUGCUCCAGGCUAGCAGCCAGCCACGUUUCUCUGAGGUGCUCUCAUAAAAUAUUCCCAGCGUUUUAUCAAAGAGGUGAUGCUGUCACGGGUUUGUUUAUUAUUUCCCUCCGGGGAUUUGUCUCUUCACGGCUUCUUCCUUUCAUUUUUGAGGAGGAAAUGUUUGCUGCUCUGUCAGCCCCUGGGAGGAAAGUAAGUUACAAAGGGAGCGGUGGUAAUGAAAGCCUUUUCCUGAACCAAGGUAACACAGCUCUGUGGUCACCUAUGCCCUAAACAUGUGGGAACCGAGCUCAGCCCUCGAGGACAAUGAUCAGGGAGCUGAUCACCAGUGGAAAGAGCCAUGGCAGGGGAUCAGGGACACAGCCUGUGUGCUAUCCCACAGAUCCUUUAGUCUCUGUUCCUUCAGCUGCUCCUCUCCCUUCAUGGUCCCUAACCUUGACUGGACUUCUCCUCCCACCAGGCCCAAGCCUUUCCCCUCACCAUCUCCUCUCACACCUCCCAUGCAUCUGCUCAGCCAUUUCAGCUGAGCUGUGAGCAAAUCUGUCCAGCUUCCACCCACCCCUGUGUGCACUUCACAUGUGUGACAUGCCGUGGCCAUGCCUGGGGGUACCGUGUGAGCCUGGGACCAGAUCUUCUUCAGCUGAUGCCUUAGGGCUGUUUUUUCUCCACCUGCGGUCUGCAAUUUAGGCACUUUGCACCCUCCCAGCGUUUUGGAAGGCGGUUCUGCUCUUGUGCUGGUAUCUUUAUUUUCUAACACAUUUCAUACAUUCCUGCAGUCCCCAGGCCACUUUCUACCUCAUUUACUCCUGCCAAGGAUUUGUUUUCCUGUCACUGUGUCUGGAAGUCUUGCACAGGUAUGAGUAUGGUAAGAGGCUCUCAGGGUUCUUUGAGAGGACAUGCAGGUCAGGAGCCCUCUGUUAUUUUCUACUAUAUCAUUCCUUUUUCCUUUUGUAUCUUCUUUCCUCUAUACACAUUUGGGAACAUCACGAAACACCUCACUGAGAAACUCCACUUCAGACCCAGGAGAAGACAUCGAAAAGGAAAUGACUGAAGAGAAGAGGAGGGGGGGGAUUCUUCUUUCAUGAUGUAUGUUCUUGCUACUAAUUUUAGCAUCCUAUUUUUGUUCCUUCUGGUAUCACAAGUGUCCUGUGCUUGUGAGGGCAUAGAUGUGUCUCUGGUGGAAAGUUUGGGUUGCAGAUUAGCUCCUGGCUUCCUUUUGUCAUCAGGAAUAGACCAGAUAGGUAAACAGACAAUUCUCAGUAUUUUUUCCUAUGAGGUUUUGUUUAGCUUCCACGAGGGAAACCCUGGAAAAUUCUUCUAGAGUGAUCUGCGUGCAAGCAAGCUAUUGUCUUCAAAACAAUCUCCAUCUCUGCCCUGGAUCCUGAGCUAAUGUGGUACUCUCCAUCUCCUGUACUGACUGCAUGUGUGCUCCGCAAGCAGGAAAGUCGACCCACAACAGAAGGGGUCUCUCAUGCCAGGGAUAAUUUUACUGUUGGAGACGCACAGUGGGGACAUGAUUAUCUGCUUCUGUCUGGUUUCCCCAGGAGCUGAGACCUAUGUGAUCAUGCAGAAGAACAAGAGACCUAAUCAUGGAUGUGGGCUCCCCUGUGCCUCAUGGUUCCUUGGGACACAUACACAUUUCACUACAGCUAAUGUCAGACAAGAACCAACAUCUCGGUGAAGAGCCAUGGGGAAGAAGAAGAGAGCGAGACCCAGAGGAUCAGCCUGACAAGCAGUGGCUUUAACACAGAGGGGUGCAAGCAUGUGAGGGGCAAGGAAGGAGGACCACUGAAUUGUCCUGUCCAUGAGGGAGAUGCACUCAUCUCCCCAAAGGCCAGCCACCAGAAGAGCCAAGGAAUGAUGGGGAUGAGCAGUGUGCAUCCAUGUCUGGGUGCUGCUGGAUCCUGACACAACAUGGAUUUGAACGAAACCAGGAUGCCUGAAAAGCAGCUGGAUUCCCCAGCAAUUAUUUCAAUUGAAAAGGUAAUUGCUAGCCAUGAUACCAAAAUCCAUCAGUGUUAAUGCUGUUGUUACUAUAAAUGGUGUUGGAUCAAAGGUAAAAUAAAAUGUCUCCUGUACUCCUUUAAACAUCUAGAUCUCUGGAAAAAAAAAUGAUGUUACGCAAUUUGAUUAUAUUCAGUCAUUUAAUUAUAUAUAUUUUUACUCUGGUGUUGUUGCACAUGUGUGAUAAUGUCAAAUAUCUUGUCUUUUAGCCACAGAAGAAUGGAUUUAAACAGAGAUUUUAUUAAAAUCACAUGUUCAUAUUAAUUCCAGCUUCCAGCAUCUCUUCCCUGAUUACCAAAUCCUUUGCUGUCAGGAGUGCUGCUCU